GAUGAACGCUGGCGGCGUGCCUAAUACAUGCAAGUCGAGCGAACAGACGAGGAGCUUGCUCCUUUGACGUUAGCGGCGGACGGGUGAGUAACACGUGGGUAACCUACCUAUAAGACUGGGAUAACUUCGGGAAACCGGAGCUAAUACCGGAUAAUAUUUCGAACCGCAUGGUUCGAUAGUGAAAGAUGGCUUUGCUAUCACUUAUAGAUGGACCUGCGCCGUAUUAGCUAGUUGGUAAGGUAACGGCUUACCAAGGCAACGAUACGUAGCCGACCUGAGAGGGUGAUCGGCCACACUGGAACUGAGACACGGUCCAGACUCCUACGGGAGGCAGCAGAAGGGAAUCUUCCGCAAUGGGCGAAAGCCUGACGGAGCAACGCCGCGUGAGUGAUGAAGGUCUUCGGAUCGUAAAACUCUGUUAUUAGGGAAGAACAAACGUGUAAGUAACUGUGCACGUCUUGACGGUACCUAAUCAGAAAGCCACGGCUAACUACGUG
rnacentral:rRNA from 1 species